GACGAACGCUGGCGGCGUGCUUAACACAUGCAAGUCGAGCGGUAAGGCCCUUUCGGGGGUACACGAGCGGCGAACGGGUGAGUAACACGUGGGUGACCUGCCCUCAGCUCUGGGAUAAGCCUGGGAAACUGGGUCUAAUACCGGAUAUGACUCCAUGACGCAUGUUGUGGGGUGAAAGCCUUGUGCGGCUGAGGAUGGGCCCGCGGCCUAUCAGCUUGUUGGUGGGGUGAGGCCUACCAAGGCGACGACGGGUAGCCGGCCUGAGAGGGCGACCGGCCACACUGGGACUGAGACACGGCCCAGACUCCUACGGGAGGCGGCAGUGGGGAAUCUUGCGCAAUGGGCGAAAGCCUGACGCAGCGACGCCGCGUGA
rnacentral:rRNA from 1 species